rnacentral:lncRNA from 1 species
CUCAUUGAACUCGCCUGCAGCUCUUGGGUUUUUUGUGGCUUCCUUCGUUAUUGGAGCCAGGCCUACACCCCAGCAACCAUGUCCAAGGGACCUGCAGUUGGUAUUGAUCUUGGCACCACCUACUCUUGUGUGGGUGUUUUCCAGCACGGAAAAGUCGAGAUAAUUGCCAAUGAUCAGGGAAACCGAACCACUCCAAGCUAUGUCGCCUUUACGGACACUGAACGGUUGAUCGGUGAUGCCGCAAAGAAUCAAGUUGCAAUGAACCCCACCAACACAGUUUUUGACUGUUACCAAUGCUGUGGUCACAGUGCCAGCUUACUUUAAUGACUCUCAGCGUCAGGCUACCAAAGAUGCUGGAACUAUUGCUGGUCUCAAUGUACUUAGAAUUAUUAAUGAGCCAACUGCUGCUGCUAUUGCUUACGGCUUAGACAAAAAGGUAUGUACCAUUUGUGAUGCAAGUUCGGAUUAUUUUAAGAUUAAUUUGAUCCAUCGUAAAUUUAAAUGAGAUUGUUUUUAACGGCAGGUUGGAGCAGAAAGAAACGUGCUCAUCUUUGACCUGGGAGGUGGCAC